GGGGAUUGGGGUCGAUGAUCCUAUAUGGGUUAAGGGGGGAUUGGGGUUGAUGAUCCUAUAUGGGUUAAGGGGGGAUUGGGGUUGAUGAUCCUAUAUGGGGCAGGGGGGGAGAUAAAGGGGGAGGGGGGGCACCCAUAGCACAGCCCUAUUGGAUGUAAGGGAAUAAUGGGAUAAUAGGGGAAUGGGGUCUGUAAUGGGGGAAUGGGGUUAUGGGGAAAUGGGAUAUGGGAUGGGGUCUGUAAUGGGGGAAUGGGGUCUGUAAUGGGGGAAUGGGGUUAUGGGGUCUGGAAUGGGGUCUGGAAUGGGGUCUGCAAUGGGGGAAUGGGACAUGGAAUAGGGUCUGUAAAGGGGGAAUGGGGUCUGGAAUGGGGGAAUGGGGUCUGUAAUGGGAUACUGGGACAUAUAAUGGGGUCUGCAAUGGGGGAAUGGGGUUAUGGGGUCUGGAAUGGGGUCUGUAAUAUGGGAAUGGGGGAAUGGGGCAUGGAAUGGGGUCUGCAAUGGGGGAAUGGAGUUAUGGGGUCUGGAAUGGGGUCCGUAAUGGGGAAAUGGGGUCUUUAAUGGGGGAAUGGGGUCUGCAAUGGGGGAAUGGGACAUGGAAUAGGGUCUGGAAUGGGUCUGGCAUAGGGGAAUGGGGAAAUGGGACAUGGAAUGGGGUCUGGAAUGGGCUAAUGGGGGAAUAGAACCUGGAAUGGGAACUGUAAUGGGAGGAAAGGGAGAAUGGGAUGUGGAAUGGGAUCUGUAAUGGGGGAAUGGGGUCUGGAAUGGGGUCUGUAAUACAGGAAUGGGACAUGGAAUGGGGUCUGUAAUAUGGGAAUGGGGGAAUGGGGCAUGGAAUGGGGUCAGGAAUGGGGGAAUGGGGUCUGGAAUGGACUAAUGGGGGAAUGGGGUCUGUAAUGGGGGAAUGGGACAUGGAAUGGGGCAUGGAAUGGGGUCUGGAUUGGAGUCAGUAAUGGGGGAAUGGGUCAUAGAAUGGGGUCUGUAAUGGGGGAAUGGGGUCUGCAAUGGGGUCUGGAAUGGGCUAAUAUGGGAAUGAGGUCUUUAAUGGGGGAACAGGACAUGGAAUGGGGUCAGUAAUGGGGAAAUGGGGUCUGUAAUGGGAGAAUAGGGUCUGUAAUGGGAUACUGGGACAAGUAAUAGGGUCUGUAAUGGGGGAGUGGGGGAAUGGAACAUGGAAUGAUGUCUGUAAUGGGCUAAUGGGGUCUGUAAUGGGAUAAUGGGACAUGUAAUGGGGUCUGUAAUGGGGUCUGUAAUGGGAUAAUGGGACAUGUAAUGGGGUCUGUAAUGGGGUCUGUAAUGGGGGACAGGGGUCUGUGAUGGGAUACUGGGACACAGAAUAGGGUUUGUAAUGGGGUAAUGGGUCACGGAAUGGGGUCUGCAAUGGGGUCUAUA
rnacentral:lncRNA from 1 species